UACGUAGGUGGCAAGCGUUGUCCGGAUUUAUUGGGCGUAAAGCGAGCGCAGGCGGUUCCUUAAGUCUGAUGUGAAAGCCCACGGCUUAACCGUGGAGGGUCAUUGGAAACUGGUCGACUUGAGUGCAGAAGAGGGAAGUGGAAUUCCAUGUGUAGCGGUGAAAUGCGUAGAGAUAUGGAGGAACACCAGUGGCGAAGGCGGCUUCCUGGUCUGUAACUGACACUGAGGCGCGAAAGCGUGGGGAGCAAACAGGAUUAGAUACCCU
rnacentral:rRNA from 1 species